rnacentral:rRNA from 1 species
AAUAGAUACCCGGGUAGUCCACGCCGUAAACGAUGGAUACUAGCUGUUGGGGGCGACCUCAGUGGCUAAGCGAAAGUGAUAAGUAUCCCACCUGGGGAGUACGUUCGCAAGAAUGAAACUCAAAGGAAUUGACGGGGGCCCGCACAAGCGGUGGAGCAUGUGGUUUAAUUCGAUGAUACGCGAGGAACCUUACCAAGGCUUAAAUGCAGACUGACCGUUUUGGAAACAGAACUUUCGCAAGACAGUCUACAAGGUGCUGCAUGGUUGUCGUCAGCUCGUGCCGUGAGGUGUCAGGUUAAGUCCUAUAACGAGCGCAACCCCUGUUGUUAGUUGCCAGCGAGUAGUGUCGGGAACUCUAACAAGACUGCCAGUGCAAACUGUGAGGAAGGUGGGGAUGACGUCAAAUCAUCACGGCCCUUACGCCUUGGGCUACACACGUGCUACAAUGGCCGGUACAGAGAGCAGCCACCUCGCGAGGGGGAGCGAAUCUACAAAGCCGGUCACAGUUCGGAUCGGAGU